CGCGAUUCGCCCUUCGGGGUGCAGCAGGCGCGAAAACUUUGCAAUGCGGGAAACCGUGACAAGGGAACUCUGAGUGCCCGUUAAAUCGGGCUGUCCAUCGGUUUAAAUAACCGGUGAAGAAAGGGCCGGGCAAGACCGGUGCCAGCCGCCGCGGUAAUACCGGCGGCUCGAGUGGUGGCCACUAUUACUGGGCUUAAAGCGUUCGUAGCUGGUUUGUUAAGUCUCUGGGGAAAUCUUCCGGCUUAACCGGAAGGCGUCUCAGGGAUACUGGCAGACUAGGGACCGGGAGAGGUGAGAGGUACUCCAGGGGUAGGAGUGAAAUCCUGUAAUCCUUGGGGGACCACCUGUGGCGAAGGCGUCUCACCAGAACGGCUCCGACAGUGAGGGACGAAAGCUGGGGGAGCAAACCGGAUUAGAUACCCGGGUAGUCCCAGCUGUAAACGAUGUGCGUUAGGUGUAUCGGUGACCACGAGUCACCGAGGUGCCGAAGAGAAAUCGUGAAACGUACCGCCUGGGAAGUACGGUCGCAAGGCUGAAACUUAAAGGAAUUGGCGGGGGAGCAC
rnacentral:rRNA from 1 species